rnacentral:rRNA from 1 species
UUCAACGUGAGAGUUUGAUCCUGGCUCAGAGCGAACGCUGGCGGCAGGCUUAACACAUGCAAGUCGAGCGGGCCCUUCGGGGUCAGCGGCGGACGGGUGAGUAACGCGAGGAGAACGUCCCUGAGCAAUGGAAUAA